GAUGCAGAUAAGUAUAUUUUGUAGGUGAAUGAAGUCUAUCCACCAUGCCUGUAGAAGCUCAGGAUCAUAAUGUACAAAAAGAUUUGAAGGGGGACGGGGUUGGAACCGGGGCUACUAAAGUGGUGCCCAGGAACAGCGCACCAAUGCUAUUAGGUAAAUGUGCCAGCCCUUCCAGAAAAAUAGUGGGAAGAUUAGCCCGGCUGAAGUGCAUCUACAUGAAUGCACGCAGCAUGGGCAACAAACAGGAGGAGCUGGAGGCCAUCAUGCAGGAAGAAAACUACGAUCUAGUUGCCAUCACAGAAACGUGGUGGGAUGACUCGCAUAACUGGAGUGCUGCAAUUGAUGGUUACCAACUUUUCAGAAGGGACAGGCAAGGAAAGAGAGGAGGUGGGGUGGCCCUUUAUGUUAAGAACAGUAUUAUAUGCCUAGAACUCAGCAAUAUGCAUGAUGACAGUGUCGAGUGCCUGUGGAUAAGGAUCAAGGGGAAAACCAGUAAGGCAGACAUUGUGGUGGGAGUUUGUUAUAGACCCCCAAACCAGGAUAUAAAGACUGAUGAAGUAUUCUAUAGGCAGCUGACAGAAGCCUCACGAUCACUCUCCCUUGUACUCAUGGGGGACUUCAAUUUCCCUGAUAUCUGCUGGCAAUAUAACACAGCAGAGAGGCAACAGUCCUGGAGAUUCUUGGAAUGCGUGGAAGACAACUUCCUAACGCAGCUGGUGAGGGAACCGACCAGGGAAAGUGCCCUUCUGGACCUGCUGAUAGUUAACUCAGAAGGUCUUGUGGGGGAUGUAAACGUUGGAGGCCGUCUUGGACAGAGUGAUCAUGAAAUGAUAAAAUUUUCAAUUCUCACUGAAGCAAGGCGGGGGGCCAGCAGGACUGCCACCCUGGACUUCCGAAGGGCAGACUUUGGCCUCUUCAGGAGCAUGGUUGGGGGUGUCCCUUGGGAGACGGUCCUUGAGGGCAAGGGUGCCCAGGAAAGCUGGUCAUUCUUCAAGGAGGCACUCUUAAAGGCGCAAGAUAAAGCUAUUCCCAAGUCCCAAAAAUCAAGCAGGAAGGGAAGAAGACCAGCCUGGCUAAAUAGAGAGCUUCGGCUGGAACUCAGGAACAAAAAGAAGGCUUAUAAUCUUUGGAAAAAGGGCCUGGCAGAUAAGGAGAAAUACCAUGAAGCAGUGAGGAUAUGCAGGGGGAAAAUUAGAAGGGCCUUAUCAAUGCCUACAAGUAUCUAAAGGGAGGGUUGAAGGAGGAGGGAGCCAGACUCUUUUCAGUGGUUGCCAGUGAGAGGACGAAGG
rnacentral:lncRNA from 1 species